AGCCGAAGGAUCAGCCAGCCGUCUGGAC
rnacentral:piRNA from 1 species